AGCAGCACGGGCUGCGCCGGGUGAAGUCACCGGCACCAUUCAAGGCGGGGAGCGAGCGCCGGGCGCCCGUCCGCCCCGCCGGCUCCCGAGGACGCGGCGCCGCUGCCGCAGGACGCCGGGAACCGGCCCGACUGAAAUGGCAUCAUGACUUUCCUGUGGAAUUACUCCCCUAAUAAGGUCUGUGUUUGGACUCCAGCAGCCUCAUCCUUGCUACGGUGCCAGAGAUCAACCCGACAGGUCACAUCUCAG